UGUUGUUUUCUCGAAAAUCAAUUAAAAGUGGUGGGAUUUUGUGUUGUAUUGACUUCAUCAGCUUUCUACACUUUUUUCCUAUCUUUUUUAAUGCACUUUUCGUUUAACAAGUCAACAUCAAUUUCUUUUGUUGUAAAAGAGUCAUUGGAAGGUGGCUUUCUUUUCGGAGAAAGUGUUUAUAGCCUUUGGCUUCUGCAAUCGGAGAGAUUGAGGUCUGCAGCGUAGAUCCUUCGGGGUUAGAUGCAUUUGUGCUAAGUUAUAGCCUUUCAUAGACAACUUGUUGACUAUGAUCAGUCAUGUAGCUUACUCGCUUAUGUCUUUUUACCUAC
rnacentral:rRNA from 1 species